UUCAGUUUUUGGUAUUCCUGUUUUUAGUUUUCCAUUUUCUUGUGAUCAAUCCUUUCGAAUUGUCAGGGAAGAAACCGAACCAGUUUCCUGUAGGAAUAAAGGGACAGUGCUCAGUAGAAUAGUUGUAAUAUAUCCAGCGGAGCAUAAGGUUAUAUGUGAGUUGGAUAAUCGUCUACCAGAAUCAAAAUAUUUCUUCGUAGCCACUAACCAGACCCAAG